UAAGAUAGCUGACAAACUUAAAGAUGGCCGACAUACCACAUGGUCAUAAAGAUGGCCGACAAGCACAUGGUCAUCACACAAAGGAAAUCAAGAUAGUGUCUACAAUAUCCAGCAAUAAAAACUGUUUCUAUAUUUCCUUAAGUUUCAACCAGAGCAAAU